UACGGAGGGUGCGAGCGUUGUCCGGAAUCAUUGGGCGUAAAGGGCGCGUAGGUGGCCACUUCAAGCGUGCGGUGAAAGUCGGGGGCUCAACCCCUGAUCGGCCGUGCGAACUGGGGGGCUGGAGCACUGUAGAGGCAGGCGGAAUUCCGGGUGUAGCGGUGGAAUGCGUAGAUAUCAGGAGGAACACCAGUGGCGAAGGCGGCUUUCUGGACGAUAACUGACGCUGAGACGCGAAAGCGUGGGGAGCAAACAGG
rnacentral:rRNA from 1 species